rnacentral:rRNA from 1 species
UGCGUAGGCGGAUUAAUAAGUCAGUGGUGAAAUCUUUCGGCUCAACCGAGAAACUGCCAUUGAUACUGUUAAUCUUGAGUUCGGUUGAGGUAGGCGGAAUGUGUAAUGUAGCGGUGAAAUGCUUAGAUAUUACACAGAACACCAAUUGCGUAGGCAGCUUACUAGACCGACACUGACGCUAAGGCACGAAAGCGUGGGGAGCGAACAGGAUUAGAUACCCUGGUAGUCC